GACGGAGGAUGCAAGCGUUAUCCGGAAUUAUUGGGCGUAAAGCGUCCGCAGGUGGACAUACAAGUCUGCUGUCAAAGUGCAGAGCUUAACUCUGUAAAGGCGGUGGAAACUGUAGGUCUUGAGUAUGGUAGGGGUAGAGGGAAUUCCCGGUGUAGCGGUGAAAUGCGUAGAUAUCGGGAGGAACGCCAGUGGCGAAAGCGCUCUACUGGGCCACAACUGACACUGAGGGACGAAAGCUAGGGGAGCGAAAGGG
rnacentral:rRNA from 1 species